GGAGAAGUGUCAGAGUGGUCUAUCGUGCUUCCUUGCUAAGGAAGUGGGGUUCACGCCCCCGGAGGUUCGAAUCCUCUCUUCUCCG
rfam:Candidatus Kaiserbacteria bacterium RIFCSPLOWO2_12_FTLL_45_26 rifcsplowo2_12_scaffold_0, whole genome shotgun sequence.